CCUACGGGUGGCAGCAGUGGGGAAUAUUGCACAAUGGGGGAAACCCUGAUGCAGCGACGCCGCGUGAGUGAAGAAGUAUCUCGGUACGUAAAGCUCUAUCAGCAGGGAAGAUAAUGACGGUACCUGACCAAGAAGCCCCGGCUAACUACGUGCCAGCAGCCGCGGUAAUACGUAGGGGGCAAGCGUUAUCCGGAUUUAUUGGGUUUAAAGGGUGCGCAGGCGGCCUGUUAAGUCAGCGGUAAAAGCCCGGGGCUCAACCCCGGCGAGCCGUUGGAACUGGCGGGCUGGAGUUGGAGAGAAGGACGCGGAAUGCGCGGUGUAGCGGUGAAAUGCUUAGAUAUCGCGCAGAACCCCGAUUGCGAAGGCAGCGUACCGGCUCCACACUGACGCUGAGGCACGAAAGCGUGGGUAUCGAACAGGAUUAGAUACCCGAGUAGUC
rnacentral:rRNA from 1 species